UACGAAGGGGGCUAGCGUUGUUCGGAUUUACUGGGCGUAAAGCGCACGUAGGCGGAUCGAUCAGUCAGGGGUGAAAUCCCAGAGCUCAACUCUGGAACUGCCUUUGAUACUGUCGAUCUGGAGUAUGGAAGAGGUGAGUGGAAUUCCGAGUGUAGAGGUGAAAUUCGUAGAUAUUCGGAGGAACACCAGUGGCGAAGGCGGCUCACUGGUCCAUUACUGACGCUGAGGCGCGAAAGCGUGGGGAGCAAACAGG
rnacentral:rRNA from 1 species